UUAGUUUAGGUGCCGCUUUUAGAAGGUAAAAGCGGAUAAUAGGGAAGUCUGAACAUGGUUUUCCAUGUGUAAGCGCGGGCCCGCCACUGUACCGAGGAGGUUCCACAAAUUGCCACUCAGCUAUCGGGGAAGGCGUGGAUACUAAUGAAUCGGGAGCCAGGAAACCUGCCUAAACUGUAA
rnacentral:ncRNA from 1 species